rnacentral:misc_RNA from 1 species
GAGCAGGUCUGUUCGAGCGUCCGCCAAUCAAAGAAAUCGUUGUCGUCCGGGACGGCAAGAGUGAGGAGCUGCGGCGAUCGACAUGCGCCGCACUCCUUGAAGAGACGCGCUCGCGGAUUGCGACGCGGCGGUCCGAAGAGACGUCGUCGCGACAUCGUGAAUGGUUGCGUCGUCGCAUCUCUCGGGMACCGCGGGGUCGGAUCGGCGGCCGGMGAUCAGGAAGCGACCAUCUGGACCUCGGAUCAGGCC